rnacentral:ncRNA from 1 species
ACGGGUAGAGGCGCAUUGCCUAAAAGUAAAUUGUUCGAGGUUGAUAACCGAUGACUGCAAUUGAAAGGAGUCAAUGCCGAAGUUAGUACUGUUAUCAAACAGGUUAGCUGGGGUUAUUUCGAAAAGGAAUAACACUGCCAUAGUCAAUUUUAUUUUUUAACUAUGGAGCGCUACUGUG